CCUACGGGAGGCAGCAGUGGGGAAUUUUGUGCAUGGGGCGAAAGCCUUGACGCACCAGCGCCGCGUGCCAGACGAAGGCCUUCGGGUUGUAAACCGCUUUCAGCAGGGAUGAAAUUGACAGUACCUGCAGAAGAAGCCCCGGCUAACUACGUGCCAGCAGCCGCGGUAAUACGUAGGGGGCAAGCGUUAUCCGGAUUUAUUGGGCGUAAAGCGCGCGUAGGCGGCUUGUUAAGCGAGAUGUGAAAACCGGGGGCUUAACCCGCGGCCUGCAUCUCGAACUGGCAGGCUUGAGUCUGGUAGAGGAAAGUGGAAUUCCCAGUGUAGCGGUGAAAUGCGCAGAUAUUGGGAGGAACACCGGUGGCGAAGGCGGCUUUCUGGGCCACGACUGACGCUGAGGCGCGAAAGCUAGGGGAGCGAACAGGAUUAGAUACCCUGGUAGUCCUAGCCGUAAACGAUGGGCACUAGGUGUGGGGGGUCACCAACUCCCUCCGUGCCGCAGCUAACGCAUUAAGUGCCCCGCCUGGGGAGUACGGCCGCAAGGCUAAAACUCAAAGGAAUUGACGG
rnacentral:rRNA from 1 species